UGGCUCAGACAGUAAAGCGUCUGUCUGCAAUGCAGGAGACCCGGGUUCGAUUCCUGG
rnacentral:tRNA from 1 species